rnacentral:tRNA from 1 species
UGGGGCAUCGCCAAGUUGGUAAGGCACGGGACUUUGACUCCCGUAUGCGUUGGUUCGAGUCCAGCUGCCCCAACCA